rnacentral:rRNA from 1 species
CACGUAGGGUGCGAGCGUUGUCCGGAAUUAUUGGGCGUAAAGAGCUCGUAGGCGGUGUGUCGCGUCGGCCGUGAAAACCUGCAGCUUAACUGUGGGCUUGCGGUCGAUACGGGCAUCACUGGAGUUCGGCAGGGGAGACUGGAAUUCCUGGUGAUAGCGGUGAAAUGCGCAGACGUAUCAGGAGGAACACCGGUGGCGAAGGCGGGUCUCUGGGCCGAUACUGACGCUGGAGGAGCGAAAGCCGUGGGGAGCGAACAGG